rnacentral:rRNA from 1 species
UACAGAGGUCUCAAGCGUUGUUCGGAUUCAUUGGGCGUAAAGGGUGCGUAGGUGGCGGGGUAAGUCAGGUGUGAAAUUUCGGAGCUUAACUCCGAAACUGCAUUUGAUACUGCCUUGCUUGAGGACUGGAGAGGAGACUGGAAUUCACGGUGUAGCAGUGAAAUGCGUAGAGAUCGUGAGGAAGACCAGUGGCGAAGGCGGGUUGCUGGGCCGACACUGACGCUGAUGCGCGAAAGCCAGGGGAGGCGAAGCGGGAUUAG